rnacentral:rRNA from 1 species
UAAGGAAUAUUGCGCAAUGGGCGACAGCCUGACGCAGCGACGCCGCGUGGGGGAUGAAGGUCUUCGGAUUGUAAACCCCUUUCGGCAGGGAAGAUGGAACGGGUAACCGUUCGGACGGUACCUGCAGAAGCAGCCACGGCUAACUUCGUGCCAGCAGCCGCGGUAAUACGAAGGUGGCAAGCGUUGUUCGGAUUUACUGGGCGUACAGGGAGCGUAGGCGGUUGGGUAAGCCCUCCGUGAAAUCUCCGGGCCUAACCCGGAAAGUGCGGAGGGGACUGCUCGGCUAGAGGAUGGGAGAGGAGCGCGGAAUUCCCGGUGUAGCGGUGAAAUGCGUAGAGAUCGGGAGGAAGGCCGGUGGCGAAGGCGGCGCUCUGGAACAUAUCUGACGCUGAGGCUCGAAAGCGUGGGGAGCAAACAGG